GUGAAUCAUCGAAUCUUUGAACGCAAAUUGCACUUUCUGGUAUUCCGGAAAGUAUGCCUGUUUGAGGGUCAGUUAAAUAAAAAUCGUCGUUGUUGCUGUCUUUCGUGGUGACGCGUCGGAGUUGAGACGUCUUCCAUUCGCUUAAGCUUCUUAAAAUUUUUGCAUGAUUUUAGCACGUAUUUAAUUUGUUUACGUACGUUUGAGAUAUCGACUGCUUAUUAGGUUUGGUUUUCCUCAUGACCCGCGCCUAUAAUUUUUCAUUAAUUGACAUCAAAUCAGGUAAGAAUACCCG
rnacentral:misc_RNA from 1 species